rnacentral:rRNA from 1 species
AUUGAACGCUGGCGGCAUGCUUUACACAUGCAAGUCGAACGGCAGCGGGGGCUUCGGCCUGCCGGCGAGUGGCGAACGGGUGAGUAAUGCAUCGGAACGUACCCAGUCAUGGGGGAUAACUACGCGAAAGCGUAGCUACUACCGCAUACGCCCUGAGGGGGAAAGCGGGGGACCGCAAGGCCUCGCGUGAUUGGAGCGGCCGAUGUCGGAUUAGCUAGUUGGUGGGGUAAAGGCCUACCAAGGCGACGAUCCGUAGCGGGUCUGAGAGGAUGAUCCGCCACACUGGGACUGAGACACGGCCCAGACUCCUACGGGAGGCAGCAGUGGGGAAUUUUGGACAAUGGGGGCAACCCUGAUCCAGCCAUGCCGCGUGAGUGAAGAAGGCCUUCGGGUUGUAAAGCUCUUUCAGAUGGAAAGAAAACGCUUCUCCUAAUACGGGGGGCGGAUGACGGUACUGUCAGAAGAAGCACCGGCUAACUACGUGCCAGCAGCCGCCGUAA